rnacentral:rRNA from 1 species
UACGGGGGGGGCAAGCGUUGUUCGGAAUUACUGGGCGUAAAGGGCUCGUAGGUGGCCAACUAAGUCAGACGUGAAAUCCCUCGGCUUAACCGGGGAACUGCGUCUGAUACUGGAUGGCUUGAGUUUGGGAGAGGGAUGCGGAAUUCCAGGUGUAGCGGUGAAAUGCGUAGAUAUCUGGAGGAACACCGGUGGCGAAGGCGGCUCACUGGCUCGAUACUGACGCUGAGGUGCGAAAGCGUGGGGAGCAAACAGG